rnacentral:rRNA from 1 species
CCUACGGUGUGCUGCAGUGGGGAAUAUUGCACAAUGGGCGAAAGCCUGAUGCAGCAACGCCGCGUGAAGGAAGACAGGUUUCUGCUCGUAAACUCCUAUCAACAGGGACGAAAAAAAUGACGGUACCUGCAUAAGAAUCCCCGGCUAACUACGUGCCAGCAUCCGCUGGAAUACGUAGGUGGCAAGCGUUAUCCGGAAUUACUGGGUGUAAAGGGUGAUUAGACGGCCAUGCAAGCCAGGGGUGAAAGCCCGGGGCCCAACCCCGGGACUGCACUUGGCACUGGCUGGCUGGAGUGCGGGAGGGGCAGGCGGAAUUCCUGGUGUAGCGGUGAAAUGCGUAGAUAUCAGGAGGAACACCGGCGGCGAAGGCGGCCUGCUGGACCGCGACUGACGUUGAGGCUCGAAAGCGUGGGGAGCGAACAGGAUUAGAUACCCUUGUAGUC